GAUUACCACCUGUGCUCGUGAAGCUGCUUUCAGAAACAUCACGACUAUUGCUGAGUGCCUUGCUGAUGAAUUGAUCAACGCAGCCAAGGGCUCUUCCAACAGCUAUGCCAUCAAGAAGAAGGAUGAGAUUGAAAGAGUUGCAAAGGCCAAUCGUUAAGGAUAUUCCUUUUGCCCUGAGAGUUACAAUCUUAUCAAUGAGUUCAAUGUUUUAUUUUCAUUUAGAUUGAAAUAUGUGUCUCAGAUGUUUGCUCUUUUGUGUUGUGAAGUUUAUUUCGUCUGAAUAUCAAUCAUUGUAAACAUUCAACAAUAUGAUUUGGAACAAGAUGCUUUAUAUAUUCGACCGAUGACAUCACUUUUCAGAGUACACUUUUAUUUCUUAAUAUGUCACUAAUUAUCCAAA